UUAAGACCUUUUCGAAGCUGUACUGUGGUUUCUAUUCACACUGCAGUCAAAUUAAGGUCAAAAUAAAUGUUCUACAAAUGGUCACUGGUGAAUUAUUUGAUAAUUUUCCAGUAGUACCCAAGUAGAAGACAAGC